GGACCAACUGGGUAGGACAGCUGGGCUGGGGACAAUUAAGCUCUGUUCACGUUCAGAGAAGAAUCAGGCUGUGCUAGCGGCAUAAUUAGCAUUGUGCUCAGAGGAGCUGCCGCCCAUUGGAGGAGCAGACAGGCCUGGGCUGAGAAAAGGGCCUGGGGCUGCCCGGGGUGUCAGCAGGGAUUUGGUCUAAGGAUGCAUCCUGUCCCUAUCUGCCGCUGGCUUUUGCUGAAGAUUCUCUGUGCUAGGCAUGCCUUUUCCCAUUUUGGCUCCACUGACCAGAUCCCUUGAGACCAACUGCAAGAGCCUCCUCCAGGAAGCCUUCCCUGAUCUUCUACGACCUCUGUAGCCAGAAGACUCACCACUCCCAGCCUGGGGCAACUGUUGCUUCUACCUAGUUCUAGGUCUCCUCUAGCAUCUACCUAGAUUAGCUUUUCUUCAUAUUGCUCACACAGGAACUUGGGUCUGCCUAGCCCUCUUGGAAGACCUGAAGAUUGGAUUUGAAAGAAGGCAUGGCUUCCUGCUGGCUGGGAUUUUCUCCAGCACCUGCCUGUGCAAGCGCCCAGGUGAGCAUGGUCCAGGUGGGCCGGUGCCGAGAGGCUUACGUGAGGCCUGGGCCGCCCAACGCGCUCAGCUCGGAGGGCACUGGCUUGGGAAGGCAGGGCACCUGCCUUCCCACAGACAUUCACCCGGGAUGAAAGUUCAGUGCAGGCUCCAGCUCCUAUGUGAGUGUCCCCCCAGCCCACGGGCUGUGGAUGUGCUGGGUGUUGGGAGAGAAGCCGGAGGAACAAGCAGGUGCUUCUCCGGCCCAGACCUCGGCCCUCCCCAGCGCUCAAGGUGCUCCUCCUCCUCUGAGUUCCUGCAUCGCUGAGAAUUUGGACUCUGGAUGUGAAAUGAGCAGCAGCCUUGGUGGCCUCUGAGUGGGGAAGUGUGCCAGGCCCCUGCUAAGUGCUUGGUGAGCCUUAAACAGCCUUGUCCUCGCCCCCACCCUGUAGGCAGGUGCCAAUGUCCCCUUGCUCUAGGGAGGGGCUCUGGUGAGCACGGGGACGAGGAUUUGGAUCUGAGGCCAUGAGGUUCUUGUUCCUCCCAUUACCAAUGUGUGUAUGGGAGGCCCCGGGAAAGAGGUCCCCAGCUGGGGGUCCCCAGCCCCUGGGCAUUGCCCACCCAUGGCUUGGAUGGGAGACAGGAGGAGCAAGAAGAGAUCCCCAAUCCUUGGCAGCUGGAAAUCUCUGGGCUUCACUCAUUUGCCCCCAGGCCAGGCAGUGCAGGCUUCACUGUCAAACCCUGGCUGCCUCAGCUCCCUGCCCUUCCCCUCUCCUUAACAGCCCAAACGUGGGUAGGAUGCAGGACUAGUAGCUGACAAUUUCCCAGGGUGUCCCAGUGGCCCUGGUGGGUGGGGGGCUUGCUGGGAAGGGAUAAUGACCGACAGCUCCCACACCAGUCCUCUCUCCGGACCUGGUCCAACAUGUCCCACUUGAUCCUCAUAUAGCCCCAUCGCUGCUUUACAGACCACGCCGGAGGGUGGAGAUCAGAUAAUCUCCAGUAUGCCCAAGGCCACUCAGGGGGGUCAGGGAGCUGAUUCCCAAAUCCAGGAAUCCGUCUGAAAAGUUUGGUGCUCCCUGCUGCACUGCGCUUAUAGAUGUGGGAUCCUUCAGCUUUCGCGGGAGCAUGGAUCCCUUUGAGGAUCCUGAUGAAAAUCUGCACCUCUCCCAGAAAAAUGCACCUCUACACAGGUUCACAGACAUCUGCAUACAAUUUCAGGGUUCUCAGACCCUGAAAGCCACCAAGGACCCCAAGUACAUAAGCCUUACACAGCACAACCUAAAUUGUCAAUGGCAGUGUCUCAGGAGGGGAGGGCAGGACAGUGACUACCUCUGUGAGGCCAUCAGCACAGCUAUGGCUGCACAUGCUGUCUGAAGGAUCAGGUGGCCUUUUCCUGUGGCUUUUGAGGCUGAGGCUGAGUACCCUUGUGGCGGAUGCAUAACGCCAGGAUGGCCAAUAAAGACACCAUAGAAGUUCCCUACCGUGUGCCUGACACUGGACAGAUUUAAUCGCCAGGUCUUCUGGGAACCCCGCAGAGUUAGGGGUUGUUUUCUUAUUUUACUGAUGGAGACUGAGGCUUACGGAAGAGAAUUUGUUUCAAGUCCCCGCCAGUACUAUGAACAUGGGAUUUGAAAUCAUGCAAGUCUGACAUGCAGACCUCGGUUCUUUCUAUUUUUCCUUCUCACGGAGGGGGCUUUUUGCUUCCUGGAGGCCGACAGGGAGUUUCUCUAACGUAGGUUGGAGUGGUCAGAAGGGAGCGAACUGACAGCACGAGGAAGGCUCAGCGCAAGCCAGCUCCAUUCAUGGGAAGUGACUCACUGCAGCCCUGCCGCUCUCGGGCUCCAGGGGACACAUACACAUUUCCUGUGUCUCGGCCAGGGCCUUGGGCAGUGUGAGCUGGCAGGGCAGAUCGCUGAAGGCGGCUAGAGAUACAAAACCACCCAGCUCUGCAUUCUGAGACAAAGAAGCCUCUCCCUGGGCUCAUAUGACAGAGGUAUGUUGCCUCUGGACCUCAGUUUUGCUGUCUGUAAAAUGGGGAGAAGGUCAGACUAGAUUGGGCAUAUUCAGUGUGGGAUCCCCCUAAGGACAGCAACAGCGGCACCUGGGAAACUGCAAAUUCUCCUUUAUGACAGUGGCUCUCAAACUUUAACAUGCAUCAGAAUCAUCUAGAGGGUAGUUUCGCACUCGAGAACCACGUAGUGAGAUCAGGGAUCCGUGAACUACAGUCCACAGGCCAAAUCUGCUUUUUAUGGUCCAUGAGCUAAGAAUAGUUUUUCCAUUUUUCAGUGGUUGGGGAAAAAAAAAUCAAAGAAGAAUAUUUUGUGACACAUACAAAUUAUAUGAAAUUCAAAUCUCAGUGUCCAUAAAUAAGGUUUCGUUGGCACACAGUCACUCUCAGUCAUUUGCAUAUCGUCUACGGCUGCUUUUUCCGCUUUGAAGGCAGAGUCGAGGCGCUGGCUCUCCUGGCUUCACACUGCUGCUCUGGCCCUGCACCUCCUAGGGAUGUGGUUAAACUCGGCUUUGCCUCUUGGUCUGCAGAGCCUGAAAUAUGUACUGUCUGGCCCUUCGUACAAGACAUUUGCUGACCCUGAUCUACAGAGAGAAGGGAAAGGAAGAGAAGGGGAGGGGAGGGGAAAGGAGGUGAGAAAAGGGUAGAGAAGGGGUGUGUGCAAGAGCUGGGGUCCCUUCUGGGGAAAGAUGAGGUGUCAGGGGCUUUUGGAAUCUGAGAGUCUUACUCUGUGCUGGGCCAGCACUUGGAAUCUUUUGCACAGUUGCUUUGAGGGUGAUCUGGAAGGCCCCUCUCACCAAUAAAGACUUUCCUUCUUGCCUGUACAAAAACCUAACAUUCCACUUCUAGAGCAGGGGCUUUUAACUGGGAAGCCCCCCCAUCCAGAGGCCAGGCUUCAGGGGUGCUAGGUAAAAUUUUAUGCAUGUAGGUGUUUUCUGGGGAGAGAGAUUUUGGUGGUGCCGGUGAACUUCUCUACCCCUCCCAAAUCCCAAGCACCCUUUUUUUUUUUCCUUUGGGGCCCACAUUUUUCUCUUUCUAUCCCUCCUUUCAAAAUGUGAAAGUCCCUGGAAGGGGGACACUGUGCAUGUACAUCCUCCUACCUAGGAAAGGGGUGAGGUGAUCUGAUGUGACCAGGCAGGCCUUAGGAAAGUCCAGAGAGUCUGAGGAGGGGUGGCGGCGGGGGGGCGGGGGGAACGGAGAGAGAGGAAGUGGUGACGAAGGAAGAGGGCCUCUUUCCCAGAAGGCUGCGGGACCCCCAGGCCCACAGAGUCUGCACUCAUCUGCUUCUCCCCACCAGCAAGAGGCACCCAAGGCUGGCAGCCCACGCGGCUACCCUCCCACCGUCACUGGUGGGCGCCUCCACUCCCAGGCCCCACAGGCCUGCAGCGUUAGCCAAGCAAGUCUCAACUCUGGCCCUGGGAUUCCAGGUAUUUUCCCAGCCAGCCGCACCUCAUCUAAUUGCUUUCCAGUCAGCUAAUCCCUGGCCCACGCCCUCUGCUCCGGCCAGGCAAGCCACCUCUGUGUGGCCAGCAGGAGCUUUCUGAGGCUUCCCAUGGCACGCGUCCAAGCCUGGGGCAGCCUCUCGCCUCCCCUUGCCCAAACCACAUCCUCUUUGUCCUUCCCCACACCUCCGACUCUCCUCUGACUAACAUUUCCAAACCAAGCAGAGCUUGGUCCAGUCCAGACCGAAAGCAGCAGACGAACUCACUCCCCACCACCCCCGCCCGCCAGACGCAUCACUUCCUGGCUAUCAGGGAAGAGCAAUUAGCAAAAAAGUGGAGCUGUACCUACUGCUCAAUUUCCAGAGCUAAUUGUUUUAAGCAGGGUUUUGGCUUUAAUUAAAGGAUAAUUAGUUACUGAA